UCAGGCCUAACACAUGCAAGUCGAACGAGACCUUCGGGUCUAGUGGCGCACGGGUGCGUAACGCGUGGGAAUCUACCCUUGGGUUCGGAAUAACAGUUAGAAAUGACUGCUAAUACCGGAUGAUGACGAAAGUCCAAAGAUUUAUCGCCCAUGGAUGAGCCCGCGUAAGAUUAGCUUGUUGGUGGGGUAAUGGCCUACCAAGGCGACGAUCUGUAGCUGGUCUGAGAGGAUGAUCAGCCACACUGGGACGGAGACACGGCCCAGACUCCUACGGGAGGCAGCAGUGGGGAAUUUUGGACAAUGGGCGCAAGCCUGAUCCAGCCAUUCCGCGUGCAGGAUGAAGGCCUUCGGGUUGUAAACUAAUGUUGUACGGAACGAAAAGGCUCUGGUUAAUACCCGGGGCUC
rnacentral:rRNA from 1 species